CAGUCUCAGUUCGGAUUGAAGGCUGAAAUUCGCCUUCAUGAAGCCGGAAUUGCUAGUAAUGGCAGGUCAGCAUACUGCCGUGAAUACGUUCCCGGGCCUUGUACACACCGCCCGUCACACCAUGAGAGUUGGGAAUACCCGAAGCCUGUGAGCUAACUUUUAGAGGCAGCAGUCGAAGGUAGAAUCAAUGAUUGGGGUGAAGUCGUAACAAGGUAUC
rnacentral:rRNA from 1 species